UACGUAGGGUGCGAGCGUUGUCCGGAAUUAUUGGGCGUAAAGGGCUCGUAGGCGGUUUGUCACGUCGGGAGUGAAAACUCAGGGCUUAACCCUGAGCCUGCUUCCGAUACGGGCAGACUAGAGGUAUGCAGGGGAGAACGGAAUUCCUGGUGUAGCGGUGAAAUGCGCAGAUAUCAGGAGGAACACCGGUGGCGAAGGCGGUUCUCUGGGCAUUACCUGACGCUGAGGAGCGAAAGUGCGGGGAGCGAACAGG
rnacentral:rRNA from 1 species